UGGGGAAUUUUCCGCAAUGGGCGAAAGCCUGACGGAGCAAUACCGCGUGAGGGAUGACGGCCUAUGGGUUGUAAACCUCUUUUUUCAGGGAGGAAUCAAUGACGUGUACCUGAAGAAUAAGCAUCGGCUAACUCCGUGCCAGCAGCCGCGGUAAGACGGAGGAUGCAAGUGUUAUCCGGAAUCACUGGGCGUAAAGCGUCUGUAGGUGGUUUAAUAAGUCAACUGUUAAAUCUUGAGGCUCAACCUCAAAAUCGCAGUCGAAACUAUUAGACUAGAGUAUAGGAGGGGGAAAGGGAAGUUCCAGUGGGGCGGUGAAAUGCGUAGGUAUUUGAAGGAACACCGAUGGCGAAGGCACGUUACUGGGCUAUUACUAACACUCAGAGACGAAAGCUAGGGUAGCAAAUGGG
rnacentral:rRNA from 1 species